AAAGAAAAAACUUUUUAAAAAAAAAAAAAAAAAAAUUCUUCUCACAUCCUCGUCUACUUUUUCACUUUUUUUUUUAAAUUCCUUUUUUUAUUUUGUUCU
rnacentral:ribozyme from 1 species